rnacentral:rRNA from 1 species
GACGAACGCUGGCGGCGUGCCUAAUACAUGCAAGUAGAACGCUGAAGAGAGGAGCUUGCUCUUCUUGGAAGAGUUGCGAACGGGUGAGUAACGCGUAGGUAACCUGCCUUGUAGCGGGGGAUAACUAUUGGAAACGAUAGCUAAUACCGCAUAACAAUGGGUGACCCAUGUCAUUCAUUUGAAAGGGGCAACUGCUCCACUACAAGAUGGACCUGCGUUGUAUUAGCUAGUAGGUGAGGUAACGGCUCACCUAGGCGGCGAUACAUAGCCGACCUGAGAGGGUGAUCGGCCACACUGGGACUGAGACACGGCCCAGACUCCUACGGGAGGCAGCAGUAGGGAAUCUUCGGCAAUGGGGGCAACCCUGACCGAGCAACGCCGCGUGAGUGAAGAAGGUUUUCGGAUCGUAAAGCUCUGUUGUAAGUCAAGAACGAGUGUGAGAGUGGAAAGUUCACACUGUGACGGUAGCUUACCAGAAAGGGACGGCUAACUACGUGCCAGCAGCCGCGGUAAUACGUAGGUCCCGAGCGUUGUCCGGAUUUAUUGGGCGUAAAGCGAGCGCAGGCGGUUUGAUAAGUCUGAAGUUAAAGGCUGUGGCUCAACCAUAGUUUGCUUUGGAAACUGUCAAACUUGAGUGCAGAAGGGGAGAGUGGAAUUCCAUGUGUAGCGGUGAAAUGCGUAGAUAUAUGGAGGAACACCGGUGGCGAAAGCGGCUCUCUGGUCUGUAACUGACGCUGAGGCUCGAAAGCGUGGGGGAGCGAACAGG